ensembl:lncRNA
CGGUCCAAAUCUCCGACUCGCAGCAUCCCACGCCAGUGGUCCCGCAGUCCACGCCACAGCUCUUCACGCCCACAGGACAGCUCUCCACACCAGCGCUCCAGCUCUUCUUAUGAGUUCUCCCAAAGACCAGCUAGGGGGAACCAGCACAGAGAGGGUGGAGAGCUAUUCCCAUUAGAUAAUGGAAAAUUCCAAAGGCGGGUCCUUUAUCUUCUUUCUGAUAUUCGGGCAAAGCUGUCAGAGGUGGGCCAAAACCGUGAGCCCCCAGAGUCUCAGUUCCACCUUGAGAAAAUGAACAGCAGGCGUGAGCUAAAAAAUCUGGAAGGGCAACUGGACGUUGAAAAAAAGAGGAAUGUGAUGGUGUCUCGCUUAGUCAGGAUUGGGGGUGCAGACCUUGAGGACUGUGUAAAAAAUAUGAUGAAAAGGUAAAUGAUACCAUGCUUUGGUGCAUUUCUCAGAUGACUCAUGAGUUCAUUCACUCAGACACGCAGAAGAGCCAGAUGGCAUGUUUAAAUAACAGGAUUCGCUGUCCACAAGCCCGAAUCUGCUUAUAUGGACUCAAUGCAGCCGGACAACAAGUUUUAAUCGCAAAAUAGACUAAAACUAAGUAAAAUAGCAGUUUGCCAAAACGUUGCAUGGUACGGUACGGCUUCCUUCGGCUCGCUUUAAAUUAGGGCUGUAAUCUCCCAGUCGAUUAUUUGUUCGAUACGCUCUGGCUCGACUAAAAUUCUGAUUGGUCAAUUUUUUGCUGCAUUCAUUUCAUCAGUGUUGCCGUGUUCAUUUCAAAAGUUCCGCAUUCGUUUUAUCAGUUUUGCCGCAUUCGUUUUUGGGUUAGCCCAACCCACUGGAGAAGAGAGACCGAUUGAAGAAAGUUGGCUACUAGAAGAUUUCCUGAUUAAUGCUGAAUAUUAUGUAUUUAAUUGUGAGAGUGUUUCAUUCACAGUCAGAUUUUUAUUCUAUUCACCAGUAGCAGUUUCCAUGUUUCAUUAACAGUUCUUGGUGUAUUCACCAUGGUAACUCUCGUUUCCAUAUUAACCCCAAAAUGCUACUUUAUUGUCAUUUUGUGUUUUAUAUUGUUAAAUGCCUGUGGUGGCUCAUACCAUAGGGUUCGUACAGGUGCUUGAAAUCCUUGAAAGUGCUUGAAUUUUGAUGUUGUGUUUUCAAGGUUUGAAAAGUGCUUGAAUUUUGGAUAAAAUGCUUGAAAAUGCUUGAAUUUGUAACUGUAUUUCUUUCACAAGAAAUAUCUUUCUGACGAAAUAGUUCUUUAUUAAAUGGAGAAAAAAAAUGUAGCCCUUCAGAAUCAGAUACAGAUUGAUUUGCGUUACGCUGGCCAAAGCAAAAGUAGGCGGAGUUUUCAUUUUGAUUUCCACGGUGGUUUCGAUGCACCGUAUUUAUUGGCCAUGCAGUGGCAAUAGUUGAACCAUUUUAA